AUAUCAGGCAUCCCUCCUACAUGCAGAUCCAAGAAGAGAAAAAUGUGGCAAAAGACCCCUCAUUUAGUUUUGUGACAAUAUCUACAUAAAAUCCAGAUGUCAGGAUCAGCCUCCUGGACUGAGAGAGUGACACUCCAGGAGAGAAAAGAACUCCAUUGUUUCCCAGGGAUGAUUUUCCAUUCUCAACACAAUAAUGUAAAUUUAACUACCAUUAUUUCACUCAAUGGCUAUCCUUUAGACGCAUUGUGUCUGCCCAUCUUGGAAGAAGAUAAGGAUUGGAUUCCAGCAAUCACAACUAAAGAAAUCUUAUUAGGAAUACAGAAAUUUCUAAAUGAACCAAAUAUAUAAAAUCAAAUUGUGUAGAAGAUUUGGGAAACUACUGCCAAAACAGAGUACGAAAAAAAAUUUUGAGUACUAGCCAAGAAUUUUGAUCCC
rnacentral:lncRNA from 1 species